UGGCUUCCAUCUGAAGAAUCUGGAGACAGGUGCUGCAUGGCUGUCGUCAGCUCGUGUCGUGAGAUGUUGGGUUAAGUCCCGCAACGAGCGCAACCCUUGCCUUUAGUUGCCAGCAGUUCGGCUGGGCACUCUAAAGGGACUGCCGGUGUUAAACCGGAGGAAGGUGGGGAUGACGUCAAGUCCUCAUGGCCUUUAUGACCAGGGCUACACACGUACUACAAUGGCCGAUACAAAGGGCAGCGACACUGCGAGGUGAAGCCAAUCCCGUAAAAUCGGUCUCAGUCCGGAUUGGAGUCUGCAACUCGACUCCAUGAAGUUGGAAUCGCUAGUAAUCGUGGAUCAGCAUGCCACGGUGAAUACGUUCCCGGGCCUU
rnacentral:rRNA from 1 species